rnacentral:ribozyme from 1 species
AGACAAUCGUCGCAAGAUGGGAUUGCUCGGCACCCGAGAGAUGGGUGCAGGAAAUCAGAAAGAUGUAUCCUUCCACGCACAGGGUGUGCUGGCUGAGAAAAAGAUUGAAGAGGUAUUCACCUCGGGAGGACUUGGAACCAACGAAGCAGUCAUCAAGACUGCAAUCGACCAGA